AUGGCGCGGAAGUAAAAGUUGGGUUUUUACCUAACACUACAGGAUGGGCCCGCGGCGCAUUAGCUAGUUGGUAAGGUAACGGCUUACCAAGGCGACGAUGCGUAGCCGACCUGAGAGGGUGAUCGGCCACACUGGGACUGAGACACGGCCCAGACUCCUACGGGAGGCAGCAGUAGGGAAUCUUCCGCAAUGGACGAAAGUCUGACGGAGCAACGCCGCGUGAACGAUGAAGGCCUUCGGGUCGUAAAGUUCUGUUGUUAGGGAAGAACAAGUACCGUUCAAAUAGGGCGGUACCUUGACGGUACCUAACCAGAAAGCCACGGCUAACUACGUGCCAGCAGCCGCGGUAAUACGUAGGUGGCAAGCGUUGUCCGGAAUUAUUGGGCGUAAAGCGCGCGCAGGCGGUCUCUUAAGUCUGAUGUGAAAGCCCACGGCUCAACCGUGGAGGGUCAUUGGAAACUGGGAGACUUGAGUGCAGAAGAGGAGAGUGGAAUUCCAUGUGUAGCGGUGAAAUGCGUAGAUAUAUGGAGGAACACCAGUGGCGAAGGCGACUCUCUGGUCUGUAACUGACGCUGAGGCGCGAAAGCGUGGGGAGCAACAG
rnacentral:rRNA from 1 species